CCCUUAGAUGUUCUGGGCUGCACGCGCGCUACACUGAUGCACUCAACGAGUUUACGACCUUGCCCGAUAGGGUUGGGUAAUCUUUUUAAAAUGCAUCGUGAUGGGGAUAGAUUAUUGCAAUUAUUAAUCUUCAACGAGGAAUUCCUAGUAAGCGCGAGUCAUCAGCUCGUGCUGAUUACGUCCCUGCCCUUUGUACACACCGCCCGUCGCUCCUACCGAUUGAGUGCUCAGGUGAAUAAUUCGGACUGCAGCAAUGUUUGGAUCCCGAACGUUGCAACGGAAAGUUUAGUGAACCUUAUCAUCUAGAGGAAGGUGAAGUCGUAACA
rnacentral:rRNA from 1 species